rnacentral:rRNA from 1 species
ACGGGAGGCAGCAGUGGGGAAUAUUGGGCAAUGGGCGAAAGCCUGACCCAGCAACGCCGCGUGAAGGAAGAAGGCCUUCGGGUUGUAAACUUCUUUUACCAGGGACGAAGGACGUGACGGUACCUGGAGAAAAAGCAACGGCUAACUACGUGCCAGCAGCCGCGGUAAUACGUAGGUUGCAAGCGUUGUCCGGAUUUACUGGGUGUAAAGGGCGUGUAGGCGGAGCUGCAAGUCAGAUGUGAAAUCCCGGGGCUCAACCCCGGAACUGCAUUUGGAACUGUUGAACUUGAGUGCAGGAGAGGAAAGUGGAAUUCCUAGUGUAGCGGUGAAAUGCGUAGAUAUUAGGAGGAACACCAGUGGCGAAGGCGGCUUUCUGGACUGUAACUGACACUGAGGCUCGAAAGCGUGGGGAGCAAACAGGAUUAGAUACCCUGGUA